rnacentral:rRNA from 1 species
AUCUAUUAGUCUUGACCAAAUCAUGUGCCAGCCGUCGCGGUAAGACAUGGAAGACGAGCGCUAUUCAUCUUUAACAGGUUUAAAGGGUACUUAGACAGUUAAUUAAGCCUACAUAAGGGACUGACUAACUAGAGUUUGAUAGAAAAAGGCUAGAACGGUAUGUGGAGAGAUAAAAUAUGUUAAUACAUGCUAAAAUCUGACAACGGCGAAGGCAACCUUUUAUGUAAAAACUGACGUUAAAGGACGAAGGCUAUAAAUAAAGAAUAGGAUUAGAUACCCUAGUAUUCGUAGCAGUAAAUGAUGAGUGUCAUAGGUAAGUGAUAUAGCUUACGUAUAAAUGAAAGUGUAAACAUUCCACCUUAAGAGUAACAUGGCAACAUAGGAACUGAAAUCAUUAGACCGUUUCUGAAACCAGUAGUGAAGUAUGUUAGUUAAAUUGAUGAUCCACAAAGAACCUUACCACAAUUUGAAUGUAAAUUCACAGGAGUUGCACGGCUGUCUUCAGUUGAUAUCGUGAGAUUUUGGUUAGCUCCAUUUAAUCAA